GAUGAACGCUAGCGGCAGGCCUAACACAUGCAAGUCGAGGGGCAGCAUAGUUGUAGCAAUACAAUUGAUGGCGACCGGCGCACGGGUGCGUAACGCGUAUGCAACCUACCCAGAACAGGGGGAUAACACUGAGAAAUUGGUACUAAUAUCCCAUAACAUCAUAAGGGGCAUCCCUUUUGGUUGAAAACUCCGGUGGUUCUGGAUGGGCAUGCGUUGUAUUAGCUGGUUGGUGAGGUAACGGCUCACCAAGGCAACGAUACAUAGGGGGAC
rnacentral:rRNA from 1 species